AGAAGUUAAGCAACAGUAUUCCAAUAAGUUUCUAAAGCGGAAAAGUGUAACUUGAUCGUAAAAAGAAAUAUGAAAUUAAUUAAAUCAAUCCUUUUAAUCGGCUGCAUUGUUGCCAGUGUUAUGGCUGCUGCAGGACAUGUUAAUGUGCAGGGCUCUAGUGACCCAGGUUCCCAUGUGGUUGCCGCAUAUGGACCUUAUUAUAACGAACAAG